rnacentral:rRNA from 1 species
GACAGAGGGUGCAAACGUUGUUCGGAAUUACUGGGCGUAAAGCGCGUGUAGGCGGCAAGGCAAGUCGGGUGUGAAAGCCCUGGGCUCAACCCAGGAAGUGCACUCGAUACUGCCUCGCUAGAGUCCUGGAGAGGUUGGUGGAACUCUCGGUGUAGAGGUGAAAUUCGUAGAUAUCGAGAAGAACACCGGUGGCGAAGGCGGCCAACUGGACGGUGACUGACACUGAGACGCGAAAGCGUGGGGAGCAAACAGG